rnacentral:piRNA from 1 species
GACUUUGAGAUGCCCUGAGCCCUGUCC